rnacentral:rRNA from 1 species
UUUUUUGGAUGCUUUUUUUAGGUCCUGAGCGUGCGUGCUCGCUCUGACGGGAGCUCCCCUCCGGGGGUCUAGGGAAGCGGCGGUCUAGGGAGGAGGGUAGCGGACGGGAGGAGCGCUAGGAGGGCUGCAGGAGCGCGGUGGCAGGAGAAGAAGAGACGCUGAGGAGACACGGGGUACGGGACUGGCUGCGGCCGCUCAGGAGCAGUGAGGUGCACGCGGAGCGUAGGUUGCGGCCCCUCCUAGCGCACUGAGGCGGGCGCAGCAGCGGAGGCUGCGGCCGGAGAGGAAGUGGUGGCGGGGACGGCCGUCCCAGGGGGAGCAGUACCGGAAGGAGCGGACCCACAUGUAGCGGUCGGCCGGUAUACCGUCCUGCGCGUCUGGGCCCGCUAGGAGAGGCCGGAGGAACUCUUCUCGUGGCCGUUAUUUCUCUGUGACUAGCGACCGCUUUGUAUACUGGUUCUCAGGGGCCCUGGAUGUAGUAGCUCAUUAUUGGUCGGAGUUAGUGAACGGGUCCGACGAGGUCGUCAUCACUCCUACGGAACGUCAUACUAUGAACUAUGGUACGAUUGUCUUGACAAAAAUGGCUUCCAACUUAUUGCGGCCUUUUAUAUACCACCAUCGUUCCAGACGCAGUGACAGAAAAAUCGUGAGGAUACGAUUAGAUGGGCACGUAGGUAUAGACCUCAGGAGAAGUAUACUACUACGUCUUCUCGUCUGACGACGAUAACUUCGGUUUCCACGAACCUUUUGUGUCGAUUAUGUCUCUAGACUCUGAUGUUAAUUUUGGUAUCCUCCGCGGAGGUCUUGGUCUUACUCAUCGAGUACGUGGAUGAGUUGUAUCACUUACACUCGACGAGUAAGACCAAAAUCUACGCGAAGGAUACCAAUUAGAACUGGAACUUACCCCCACCUCCGACCUAACGCUCGGUCUACGGGGUAGUUGUCCCCGCCAUUUCCUCUUCUUCUAUCAACACCUCCGACCUAACGCUCGGUCUACGGGGUAGUUGUCCCCGCCAUUUCCUCUUCUUCUAUCAACAAAUUGCCACUGAAACGAGUUCACUGUAUGGUCUGGGUAGAACAAUUAGAAGUAAUAGAAGCGGCUUCUUCCUUUUUAUUUUAACUAUUGGAGUAGUCCGUCACUUCUAACGUACCGGUCAGAGACAAAACACGUACGAUCCACUCGUAGUACUUGACAAUAUGAACGGAAUGCUCAUAAAAAGGAAAUUAGUCUACGAGUGUAUAUAAAGACACUUAUUUAUCUAGAAAAGUAAAAGAACAACCCUUUUUUCUGGUACAUUAGGAAGGGCGGUGUCGGAUUACACCCAACGUACGGAAUCGUACACGGACUAGGAAUAUCUCAAACUCCCGUCGAUGAUCUGAAUUACUAAACCGUUUAUAUAUAAAUUCCCACUUAUUCCUGUAAAUUUAGUAAAGAAUAUGGUACUUGUAGUAUUUUUCGUCUAACCCGUACACCUCUAUACAUUCGCAUGUAUCAACUAUGUAAAAGGAAAACAACUAGUAAACGAACUACGAACAAGACGCCUAACCUCAAACAAGAGUUUCUUUCUCUUGACUAGGGACCGCUUUGUAUACUGGUUCUCAGGGGUCCUGGAUGUAGUAGCUGAUUAUUGAUCGUAGUUUGUCGACGGGUACAGUCGAUAGAAAGAGUUUGGUCAUAAAAAACCAAGCUAGUAAGCGGUGUAGUACACUGUAGCGUACCCCGUAGUCAUCGCUGGGUGUGUGACCGCGUUCCUACACUUCUACCCCUGUAGUUCACGUAUGGUCUGUCUUCUGGAGUGGAGUAAAGAGGUUUGACAGACUCGUCACACGUUCUUUCGACUUCUGUAAACUUCUUUCGUAACAGCCUAUACACCAUAGGACUAGGAGAAUGAACCCUGACCCUAUUCCUCCGUGUUGUAAAUUAUCCAAUGACUUCUAAACGCUACCACUUUUUACGGUUACAGUCGAUCCAUUUCGCUUCCUACAAAAGGGGUGGUACCUAUAGAAUAAUACAGUUGGACGAGAACUCAUAGUUUCUCUACCUCUCCAUAAUACAGCUACAAGUUUUCUCAGGGUUCCGUUACAGUAACCUUCCCCGGUUUUUUAAAGGCUCGAAAUAUGUUGUUAUAACCUAUACGUUCGUCUUUUUUUUCCGAUUCUGGGUGAAACCAAGUAUCCUUAUAUUUUGAACAUCCUUUACUCUACAGUACAUAGAGUUUAGGAUACUUAUCAUUAUCUUUUUCUCUACAGGAAAGUAAGUAUAGUAAACUAAAAAGAUAACUCAGAUCCAUUUAUAAUAAAAGUAUACUUUACACUUCCUAUCUUUCUUAAACAAGGUAUCCUUAUACUAAGAUAAGGAUGUUUGGUUUCCUUGUAAAAAAAGAUAUCUUUAG